UUUUAUCGUGUGAAUGUAAAUGUUGAUGCAUCUAUUUUUUUCUCUCCAAGUAUAAAUAUGUAAAUAAAAAAAUAAAUAUAAUAAAGUGGGUACGAAGUACGAACUGUGGGAGAGGUAACCACGGCGCGGCAACCGGGAGAGAGCACAUCGUUGUGAGCGUUAGCAGAAUCUUGUGCUACGAAUCACUCUCCAAUCCAUCUUCGUUCAAACUUCAAUUUUUAUUCUACAAUGCUUUACAGAGGGUAACCCUAUUUUCUCCCUUUCCUUUCUUUUUUCUCUCUUCACUUUUCUGUUUCCCCUAAUCCAAAUUGGGGCUUUUUUGUUGUAUUUUGCUUUCGAUUCAAAUCUUUAGGGUUUAAUUCAUUAUCUCAUCUAAUUACGUGUUUUAAUUCUCUUUUUCUGUUAUAGUUUAGUUUCUUUUAUGCAAUUCCAACUAUUUUCAAACCUAUUUUUAAUCAAAAGUGGAAAAAGAAUAUUAAAAAUAUCAUUUUCGUGUUAAUUAGAGUGUCUAGUGAUAAGUAGUGAUUUACUUAAGUAUUACUAUGUCAAUAAAGAUUUGUAAUUGAUGCAUAGAAACAAGUGUAACAGGUCAUCUUUUUUAAUAUUAUGAUGACAAGAUUUGGAAUUUUGUAAGUUUAAUUUUGGUUGUUGCAUUCAGAACACUACACUUCCUGAGCAAGUCUUAGUUUUUGUAUUAACAUUGUCAUGGUUCUUUAUGUUGUCUUUCUGGGUUUGUAAGGAGGGACACAUUUGUUGUCAAUAAUCUGUGCCGGAUAAGUUCUUGAUAUAGGUCCAUAUGUCAAGUCAGGGUCCACUUAGAGGGUAAGAGGGAGAGUUAGUUAGUUACACGGAGAGAGAGAUAGAGGAAAGUCGAGUCUAUUAUAUAAACGGGAGAAGAGAAUAUCUAUGCAUCUGGGAGAAUCAUUGUGUUAGAUAUGGAUGGAGAGCAUUUUUGUUCUCUGAAGGAUUAGAAAUGACAACAUCUGAGAGGGAGAGAAAGUUGGGUAGCUCUUAGAAAUUAUGGGUUGGGCCUAACUCAAUCCUACAACACCGUAUUGUCAGGUGAGGAUUGCUUCUACUUAUUAGCCCAUGUUCAAGCUAUCUCACAUCCAANNNNNNNNNNNNNNNNNNNNNNNNNNNNNNNNNNNNNNNNNNNNNNNNNNNNNNNNNNNNNNUUUGGGCAUGUAGAGAGAAGACCUUUAGAUUCUGCAAACAGAGUACCUAGGUGGAGGGUAGUCAAAUCAUUAGUGGCAGUGAAAGACCUAAAAAACCUAUAAGAGAAACUAUUAAAAAAGAUCUUGAAAUUGAUGAGUUGCAUAGGGAUAUGAUAGAACACUAUGGCAUCAUUUGAUCCAUGUAGCUGACCCCACUUAGUGGGAUAAUGCUUGGAUGUUGUUGAAGGGGCUUUGCUCUAGGCAGCGAUAGGAAUACUCAUUUUUCUGAAAUAUCUUCAUUUCAGAAUUGUUGUUCUCUGAAGGAGCUUAGCUCGGGGUUGGGGCAGUAGGCAUACUCAUUCCUAUGUAAUCACUUCAUUUCAGAAAUAAUACACGCUUUCAUUUUAUUACUGAACUGUUUGUGUUCCUUUAAUUUCUGCUGCUACUUUCAGGGUUCUAUCAGUGCCCGUUUUCUUUCGAAUUUCUGUUUCUAGAGAAUAGUCGUUUAGUAAGGAAUUACGAUGCAUUUCAUUCUCCAUUGUUUAAAUUUAAAGCUUAUUGGUUUUAUGAAAGUGAAAAAUCCCAUUUUAAAUGAGGAGGAUCUAGGGCAGAAUAGAACUUUUUUGGAUGGUAAAUUAUGCAAAAUUGAGUGAUUAAGCAGAUUAGGACAAGCCUCUAAGAAAGGGACAUUUACCAUGCAUACAUCUUCUCAAAACUUGACUUGGUCAUAUAGCUAACUAUGUUUGGUAAAUGAAAGUGUUGUAAAGACAUGAAAAACGAUGCAAAGUUGGUGUUAUAAUUUUAUUUUCCAUUUUAAAAAUGCAUGUCCAACACUGUUGUCAAUUCAUGAUUAAGCCAGUUACAUUAAACUGCUGCAAACCUACCACCGUAAGCUACUUAGAAAAAAUCAUUUAGGAUAACAGUGAUUCGAUGUAUAAAACAUUUUGUAUGCAUCCAAAUGUAAGUUAUGCUAUAUGCUUAAACAAACUAUGUUGCAUUCGGCACAUUUGGGUCGGUUUUUAGUUUAAGUAUUGAGAUUUUUGAAAAACAAAACUAGUUCAGUUUUAAGUUUCAGUUUUUGCGGUAUAUCAAAACCAACACUAGUUUUCAGCUGCCAACCUUAUAAUUUCCUAGGUGCUGCCACUGUUGUUAGGCGUCCUCUACCACUGCCACUGCUCAUGACACACCACUGUCACUGACUCUGGACACACGCCACUGCUGUUUGCAUCGCUUGGCACUUUCCGUUGCCAUUCUGUGGCACCCUCUAGCGCUAUCACCAACGCCGAACACCUUCCAGUGCAGUUGCUGCUACUCGUCAUUCCUCUGACACUGCCAUCAGCCCCCCUCUGUCGUCAUUGUCUGGCUCCCUCCAUUGUCUUCACUGCUAUGUAACCCUCUGCUCUGUCGCCAUCAUAGAAAGACUAGAAUUGAUUUAUUUUUUUUUUUGAAAACUUAUAAAGUAUGCAUUUGAAAACCUAAAACUACAACCAUCAGUUGGGAUCCAUAGUUUGAGACUUACUUGGACAAUAAUGUGCUUAUGAAGUUGUGUUUUCCUAAGUUUCGUAAUGGAUUUUAGUUGUUUGUGACUAUGGGAUAUGUGUUCUUUGCUGCUUUAUGAUAUUUAUUUACUUAAAUGAAUAGAAUCGUUAGAUUGCUUCAUCCUCGCCGCGAGCCAAAUAUCUAGUCUAACUCUAAAUAGAAGUUGGUAGGAGCAUAUUCAUAUGUGGAAGUUAAAGGAUGAGCUCAGUUGAUUACUUUUUGAGUUGCAUCUAUGGGUAUAAUGGAAAGAGUUUUUGUUGACUAAUGCUUCAUAUUUAAUGGAAAUGAAUACGUUAUAAUUAUAUAGUAUGUUUUUCUUAACUUUGGUGUUAAUCUUUGUCUGUUGAUGCUUUCGAUAUUGUUAUGUAG
rnacentral:lncRNA from 1 species